AUUGAACGCUGGCGGCAUGCUUUACACAUGCAAGUCGAGCGGCAGCGCGGGGGCAACCCUGGCGGCGAGCGGCGAACGGGUGAGUAAUGCAUCGGAACGUAUCCUCGAGUGGGGGAUAACCCAGCGAAAGUUGGGCUAAUACCGCAUGAGCUCUGAGGAGGAAAGCGGGGGACCUGCGAGGGCCUCGCGCUGGAGGAGCAGCCGAUGUCCGAUUAGCUAGUUGGUGGGGUAAAGGCUUACCAAGGCGACGAUCGGUAGCUGGUCUGAGAGGAUGAUCAGCCACACUGGGACUGAGACACGGCCCAGACUCCUACGGGAGGCAGCAGUGGGGAAUUUUGGACAAUGGGGGCAACCCUGAUCCAGCCAUGCCGCGUGAGUGAAGAAGGCCUUCGGGUUGUAAAGCUCUUUCGGACGGAACGAAAUGGGCGGGACUAAUACUCCCGUCUGAUGACGGUACCGUAAGAAGAAGCACCGGCUAACUACGUG
rnacentral:rRNA from 1 species